rnacentral:lncRNA from 1 species
AGAGCAGCGCAGCUGAGCUGGUGAGGCAGGAGACUCAGCCCGAGGAAAUCGCAGAUAAGUUUUUAAUUAAAAAGAUUGAGCAGUAAAAAGAAUUAGAACUCUAAACUUAAGCUAAUAGAGUAGCUUAUCGAAAUAUUACUUAGUCUUAAUAAUCUAAGAAGAUCUUAAGAGAUAACAUGAGGGCUUAUUUAAACAGUUGAAAAAGGAAAUGAGGAGAAAAGUAUUUGUACUGUAUAAUGGAGGCUGGCCAGAGCAGUUUAGGGGAUUGUAAAGGGAGGUUUUAUGGAGUUCUAAAAGGUUCUAGUUUGAAGGUCGGCCUUGUAGAUUAAAACGAAGGUUACCUAAAUAGAAUCUAAAUGGCAUUUAAAACAGUAAAGUUGUAGACAAUAGUUUGAAAAUGAGGUGUAGUUUUAAAAGAUUGAGAAAAGUAGGUUAAGUUGACGGCCGUUAUAAAAAUCCUUCGACUGACGCAUGUACGUUUGAAGGCAUGAGUUGGAAACAGGGAAGAUGGAAGUGUUAGGCUAGCCGGGCGAUGGUGGCGCACGCCUUUAAUCCUAGCACUUGGGAGGCAGAGUGAGUUCCAGGACAGCCAGGGCUACACAGAGAAACCCUGUCUUGAAAAAACAAACAAAAAGGUUAGGCUAGUAUUUGGAGAAAGA